GUGACCAGCGGAGGGAUCAUUACCGAGUUUACAACUCCCAAACCCCUGUGAACAUACCUUAAUGUUGCCUCGGCGGAUCAGCCCGCGCCCCGUAAAACGGGACGGCCCGCCAGAGGACCCAAACUCUAAUGUUUCUUAUUGUAACUUCUGAGUAAAACAAACAAAUAAAUCAAAACUUUCAACAACGGAUCUCUUGGUUCUGGCAUCGAUGAAGAACGCAGCAAAAUGCGAUAAGUAAUGUGAAUUGCAGAAUUCAGUGAAUCAUCGAAUCUUUGAACGCACAUUGCGCCCGCUGGUAUUCCGGCGGGCAUGCCUGUUCGAGCGUCAUUUCAACCCUCAAGCCCUCGGGUUUGGUGUUGGGGAUCGGCUCUGCCUUCUGGCGGUGCCGCCCCCGAAAUACAUUGGCGGUCUCGCUGCAGCCUCCAUUGCGUAGUAGCUAACACCUCGCAACUGGAACGCGGCGCGGCCAUGCCGUAAAACCCCAACUUCUGAAUGUUGACCUCGGAUCAGGUAGGAAUACCCGCUGAACUUAAGCAUAUCAAUAAGCGGAGGAAAAGAAACCAACAGGGAUUGCCCUAGUAACGGCGAGUGAAGCGGCAACAGCUCAAAUUUGAAAUCUGGCUUUCGGGCCCGAGUUGUAAUUUGUAGAGGAUACUUUUGAUGCGGUGCCUUCCGAGUUCCCUGGAACGGGACGCCAUAGAGGGUGAGAGCCCCGUCUGGUUGGAUGCCAAAUCUCUGUAAAGUUCCUUCGACGAGUCGAGUAGUUUGGGAAUGCUGCUCUAAAUGGGAGGUAUAUGUCUUCUAAAGCUAAAUAUUGGCCAGAGACCGAUAGCGCACAAGUAGAGUGAUCGAAAGAUGAAAAGCACUUUGAAAAGAGAGUUAAAAAGUACGUGAAAUUGUUGAAAGGGAAGCGUUUAUGACCAGACUUGGACUUGGUUAAUCAUCUGGGGUUCUCCCCAGUGCACUUUUCCAGUUCAGGCCAGCAUCAGUUUUCGCCGGGGGAUAAAGGCUUCGGGAAUGUAGCUCUCUUCGGGGAGUGUAUAUAGCCCGUUGUGUAAUACCCUGGUGGAGACUGAGGUUCGCGCUUCUGCAAGGA
rnacentral:rRNA from 1 species